rnacentral:lncRNA from 1 species
GCCACCCCCUCCUUGUUCCCUGUCACUCCCUGUCCCCUGAAGCUGUUAUUCCUCCUGUUAACACCAUGAGCCCUGAUCCGACAAUCCAUCAUUAUUGCUGGGGUGUGAGCCAUGAAGCAGGGGCUUGCCUCUGCCCCUGCUGCGUUCCCCAUAAUCCACGACAGCACUGGCAUGUGGCAGGCACUCAACAGACACGUGUUGGAUGCCUGAACACGUAAAGCAUGGAACCCUGUGCCUGGAGGGCGGCAUGGACACAGCCUCCUUGAAAUAAACAAGUGACCACCAGGCAUAAAGCUCAGCUGCGACUAAUGCAUUCGCUCUGAGGAGAGAGAAGGCAAACCCUGGAGAAGAGGCAGGCGGUGCUGCCUCAGCAUUGCCAGCACCCACGCCACACUCCCUCUGCUUCUGUCUUGGGUGGGCAAGACGGAGAGACGCUGUAUACCAUCCACACCCGAGCUUGUUAGGAAAAUUAUUUUCCAGUUGCUCUCUCUGCUUCUCUACAGACUGUGCCCUGUAAAUUCAGGGCACAUGGAGGCAGCCUGGGGUCAGUCUCUGUUGAGUCGCCCUUUGCUGUGUGGGCCGAGCAGCACUGCCAGGGACGCAACAAAGAACGUAGGCUUGAGCAAUGGGCGGCAGAGCCCUGAUGACUGGACCUCACUGAGGACCCCUAGAAUCCCCUUUUGCUUAAGUGCUCCAGGGAGUUAUCCACUCAGUAAAGCUCAAGGCAGCUUAUGUCUCAGCCUCAUGCCUGGCACCUCGAGGGCCUGGUCUGGGGACAGUGCUGCUUCACCAUUCCGUCCCCAGCACAGAACAGGGAGGGGGGUUGGUCC